UUUUUGUAUUGAACAUCUUUCGUAUAUAUUGUUUUAUUAUAAAUUGAAAUAUUUUAAUUUUCAUAAUUUUCAUAAUUUAAUUAAAAAAAAUUAUUGUCUUGCUAAGCACAACCGAAAAUAAUACCUCACGAUAACAAAAAAAAAUAAUUAAAAUAAAAAAAAUCCUAUAUGUCGGAGAUAUCGUCUUUCCCUGUCGUUGCCAAUGGACGUCGGGGAUACUUGUAUUCCGACCUAACCUCACUGCGUCGGUGAAAAUUUCCUUGACGUCCACCUCUUGUGCGUCGGUGAAAGUUGCCCCGAUGAAGUUUCCCCAACGUCCACGUUGACGUCGUAUCUGACGUCAGGAAUACUUUAGCGGACGCACAAAGUUUUUUCGCAACAUUUGUAUGCACCAAAAAUAGUCCUGACUCUUUUAGUGGUUGUACCACAUAAAUGCAUAAAUAGAAAGGAAAACAAAAUUUAAUAGAAAACCAAAUGAUGAACAUAAGACUCAUACAAAAAGGUAAAGCAGGGGAAUGGGGAAGCCUCAGAGGAACUAAGUUCGCUAUCGUAGUUAAACUUCAUUUUUAUAUUCAUGUACAAGAUAAAGUAUGUAAUUAAACGUGGCACACACAAUAUGGAGAAAUACACCAUUAUUUCCUAAGUAUGGAUGUCAGAAGAAGCAAUGACAAAUAUUAUAGAAAAACAUAAAAGCAUUUGAAAAUAUAAAAUUUCCAUAAGAAGGCAAAAAUGUCAAAUUGCAUUGAAUGGAGUCAGUAGCAAAUAUAGUGAAAGAGCCAAAGCCUUUCUAACAUGAAGUAGGAAAAAAUGUUUUGAGGAUCAACAUCACCAAAGCAAUAAAGAAAAGGAAAAAAUGGUGAUCAAUAUUCUUCUAAAAAUGAAUGUAUAUAGAGCAACAAAGGACAACAAGCAAACUAAGAAUGGUGAAAAAGAAUAAUGGCGGUCAUACCAACCAAGUGAACCGGUGCAGAAAUCAAGAACAAUUGAGGAUGUAAUUCAAUGGGAGAGGAGCAACAAUUUAUAAUGCAGAGAAGAUAGAAAUUAAUGAUGCACAACCAGAUUUUCAUCAAUAAAGAACCAACAAAAUCCCAUAAAACAUGAAGUGGGCAUCAAAUCGAACAACACAUAUGAAAGGGGAAAUGACAGUCAAAGGUGGUACAUCCAAUUAGUGCAGCCUAGGUAUGGAAAACAAUCCAGUAGGGGUCAAAGGCCGAGAAUACUAUAAUUUGAUAUUACAAAAAGAUGUUGUCAAACAAUGCCAUAUAGUAAACCAAUUUGUCAUGAAUUAACAGAAAGUGUACCCAUUAAAUUAACAGAGAGCAAUUAUUGCAAAUAGAGGAUUCACAUAAUAUUGCGAACAUGGUGUUUUACAUAAGGACAUAGAAAAUUAGACAAUAAAUUGGUCAAAGAAUGUACCCACGUUACCGUUGCUAACACCACAAUAAUUCAGACAACAAAUUGGAGAAAAAAAAAUAUUCACAUAAUAUUGCGAAUAGAGGUGAAUUCACGGGCCAAGAGAGCAUGAAAUUUGUAAUGAAAAAAAUAUGUAUUACAUAAGAACACAGAAAAUUAGCAAAUAAUCAAAUAAUAGAGCAUAAAAAAGUAUUCAAAAAGGGGACUUCAUCAUCGGCUUAUAUGAGACUUGUACAAACUUGAGAAAGUACCGACCACCUUGUCGUGCUCUACAGUUGCCCCUAUCGGACUCAUGUGUAUCAAAUGUUCAUUAAGGGCUAAAUCGAUGUAGAUUUUGUACAUUGAAGGCCCUUUCGAUCCAAAUAAAAACUGGCAAGGUAGAUGUUAAAGUGGCAAGGGGACAUUUGAGCGGCAAGGGGAAGUUGGAGUCGCGUCAUUACAGAAAAGUCAUGCAACGAAUGAGAGAGAGGAAGGCAAUAUGUUUUGGAGGAAACACGUGAAAUGCAAACAUUCAAAGACACCAGAAAAUUGGAAGGAUAAGCCACUUCGGAGCAAUCAUCGAAACGCAGCCAUCAACGAAAUGGUUAGGUUUUCAAAGAUCUAAGAAUCAGACAACAAAAGGGUGAAGGCCGUGACUGUAACGAUGAGAUUUAGGGACAAAAAUGAAAGGAUGUUCGAAGACGAACGUAUACAAAACACGGUUGGAUUGAGAGAGAAAAAUGAGAAAAACGUUGAAGGAGCUUUUUUUUAGAAGAAGAGGAAUAGAGAACGAGAAGGAUGAAGAAGACGAAAGAAGAUGACAAAUUUGAGGAUUGUAAAAUUUGAAACAUAUCUAAAAAUAAUUGGUUGAGUGGAAAACUAUUUUAAAAAAUAUGUGAGUUGAGUUGAGAUGAAGUCGUGUACCAAUAAA
rnacentral:lncRNA from 1 species